CACUAAGCAUGGACAGACAGAAAGGACGGAUAGAUACCUCUGUCUUGUGCGGGUUCGGUGCAGAGCAAACUGCUGGGUUGAUCAACUUUCUCUAAGGGCCGCAAGCCCUACAUAGUGGAAAUGCCUAAGAUAUUGAAGACUGCUGGAUUCGGUCUCUGUUCAAGCAGAGAAUUCUGAUAUGAAAAUACUGGUCUUCAAAAAUUCAAGAGACCCUGGAUGUUUGGAUGCUGACAGAAGGAAAAAUAACUAUUCAAUAAGGAUCAUCAAGAAAAAUGAGUAUGACUUAUAAGAACAGGUGAUAAAAUAUAUAUAAAUAUAUAGAGCUGGUUUUGGUGUCAGACAACAGCUCUGUCCUUCUCUAAAUCUAAGCACAUUGUUAAAAGAAAAACCCAGAGUUUCUA